rnacentral:rRNA from 1 species
AUUGAACGCUGGCGGCAGGCCUAACACAUGCAAGUCGAGCGAGCGGCGGACGGGUGAGUAAUGUCUGGGAAACUGCCUGAUGGAGGGGGAUAACUACUGGAAACGGUAGCUAAUACCGCAUACCAUCAGAUGUGCCCAGAUGGGAUUAGCUGGUAGGUGGGGUAACGGCUCACCUAGGCGACGAUCCCUAGCUGGUCUGAGAGGAUGAGCAGCCACACGGGAACUGAGACACGGACCAGACUCCUACGGGAGGCAGCACUGGGGAAUAUUGCACAAUUGGCGCAAUCCUGAUGCAGCCAUGCCGCGUGUGUGAAGAAGGCCUUCGGGUUGUAAAGCACUUUCAGCGUGGAGGCGUUACCCUCAGAAGAAGCACCGGCGAACUCCGUGCCAGCAGCCGCGGUAAUUC